rnacentral:rRNA from 1 species
ACUGGGCGUAAAGCGCACGCAGGAGGCUUGUUAAGUCGGAUGUGAAAGCCCCGGGCUCAACCUGGGAAUUGCAUUCGAUACUGGCAAGCUAGAGUAUGUGAGAGGGGGGUAGAAUUCCAAGUGUAGCGGUGAAAUGCGUAGAGAUUUGGAGGAAUACCAGUGGCGAAGGCGGCCCCCUGGCACAAUACUGACGCUCAGGUGCGAAAGCGUGGGGAGCAAACAGGAUUAGAUACCCUGGUAGUCCACGCCGUAAACGAUGUCUACUAGAUGUUCGUGGUCUUGUACCGUGAGUAUCGCAGUAACGCAUUAAGUAGACCGCCUGGGGAGUACGGUCGCAAGAUUAAAACUCAAAUGAAUUGACGGGGGCCGCACAAGCGGUGGAGCAUGUGGUUUAAUUCGACGCAACGCGAAGAACCUUACCUACUCUUGACAUCUACGGAAGUUAGCAGAGAUGCUGAUGUGCUUCGGGAACUGUAAGACAGGUGCUGCAUGGCUGUCGUCAGCUCGUGUUGUGAAA